UACGUAGGGCGCAAGCGUUGUCCGGAAUUAUUGGGCGUAAAGAGCUCGUAGGCGGCUUGUCACGUCGGAUGUGAAAGCCCGGGGCUUAACUCCGGGUCUGCGUUCGAUACGGGCUGGCUAGAGUGUGGUAGGGGAGAUCGGAAUUCCUGGUGUAGCGGUGAAAUGCGCAGAUAUCAGGAGGAACACCGGUGGCGAAGGCGGAUCUCUGGGCCAUUACUGACGCUGAGGUGCGAAAGCGUGGGGAGCAAACAGG
rnacentral:rRNA from 1 species